rfam:Brugia malayi, FR3, WGS project CAPY01000000 data, contig: ctg1445069
GGACAUCAACAAGCACCUCUGGCUUUUACAUCUUUCCUCCUACUCAUAAGCAGGGUUGAUUUGGCUGAUCUGGCUGGCUAAGUGGGUAUUCCCUUCCUGCCUCACUGGUCCAUGUGUGUCCUCCUCAAGAAGAGGAUGACCUUCUUAAAAUAGAGGAUGACGGGUCAUAAGUAUAGGAAUAGCUGUACCCCUCAACUAGAGAAGCUCUCAAGGUUGAUGUUACUUUUUUAAAUAUUGACUAAUGCAAAAUCGUGACACUAUUCACUUCUAAAGCUCAAAAAUUU